GAGAUCCCUGCCUGUCAGAGGUCUUCCAAAGGCAAAACUUCCAUUGACACUAAUUGGAAAGCUGCCUAAGUAAAGGGCACUGAGGGAGUUCAGAAGCUGGCUGUAACUCGGCUUGGUUCUUACUUUUGAAAAUCCCUUUCUUGAGAAAAGAGAUGUAUCCUCUAAUGCUCGUAGACCCAUUAACUGUGGCUGCAGAGCGAUGACAUCUUGCCAGUACGACCUUCAGGAGAAGAUGGUGAAUAGGUGAGGAGGUAAACAGGCUGGAUGGUCUCAGUGGUGCGUGGAGCUGGAUGGGGAUAUCGUCUAGAGCAGUCACAGCAGAGAUGAUUGGACUAGAUAAUUUUAUUGAUCUUUCUAGCCUUAAUGAUUCUGUAAUUCUGUGACAGCAGGAGGACGCUAUGCUGACUUAAUGUUCUACAGACUUUAUGUGCAUUCAGUGAGUUUUAAAUAGUGCUCAUUAGCUGGCCAGACAGUUCACCGAUGAAUUGUUUGUGCCGACCGCUGCUCAUUUAAAUGCUAAUGAAGUUUAAUAUGAUCUUAAAAUAUACACCCUCUUUAAACCUCAACUUACACUGACAGUGCAAGAAGAACAGGAAAUUUCCCUUCUGCUAGCCAACUGUAGUGCCAAGCUUCACGUUUCUUACCCUCUAAUAUGACAAAACAUUCUAUCUGUUGGUCCAGGCAGCUGGUUCAGUUGCAAAAGAUCAAUUUGGCUUCAAAUGCAUUUCCUGGGGAAAACAUGUAGCCUUUCCUGGGAUAUCUGCAUAAGCAGUAAAACGUAGAAAUGCCUUGUUAUGAGUGUUUUUCUUGAGGCUGCUCAUCAGGUGUUUAGCAAGCCAAGAGAACCGACUAAUUUCGAUAACUCCGAUAAGGAGCCCCUCAUGUUUCUCGGCUUCAUUCAUUAUUAUACUUAAUGCAUAAUUACAGCUGGGUAAGAUAUCAUUAGCCAUUAAUUUCCUGUUACUGAUGAUGGUGGAAUUGAGUUGUCACUUGUAAGAGCCUUAUUUCAUGCU